GGGGGAGCGCCGGAUUUUGGGCUGUGUACCCCGGCGCCCUGGGCUCCAGGGCCUGCGCUGCUGGGAUUCUGCUCCGGAAGCCACUCAGUCCCCU
rnacentral:pre_miRNA from 1 species